GAUGAAGAACGUAGCGAAAUGCGAUACUUGGUGUGAAUUGCAGAAUCCCGUGAACCAUCGAGUCUUUGAACGCAAGUUGCGCCCGAAGCCAUUAGGCCGAGGGCACGCCUGCCUGGGCAUCACACGUCGUCGCCCCCCCAUCUACUCCUUCGGGAUUGCGGGGGGCGGAUGAUGGCCUCCCGUGCGCCUCGUCGCGCGGUUGGCAUAAAUGCCAAGUCCUCGGCGACGCACGCCACGACAAUCGGUGGUUGCGAAACCUCGGUUGCCCGUCGUGUGCGGUCGUCGCGCAUCGAGGGCUCGAAAAAAUUGCCGGGCUCCGGCUCGGCUUUCAACGCGACCCCAGGUCAGGCGGGGUUACCCGCUGAAUUUAAGCAUAUCAAUAAGCGGAGGA
rnacentral:misc_RNA from 1 species